ACGCGGCCCCGCUACACACACAGCGCUUCAGCUGCACAGGGCGCUAUUUUCCGAAAAUGCCGCGUCUGGUCGGCGCCCAAAAUCCCCACCGAAAAGUCCCCCGUGUGCGCGCGGAGGGACACAUCGUGUGCGAAUUGACACAUGAAUAAUGGGUGCAUUUUUGGCAGACACUGCUGAAGAAUGUUAAAUUGAUUGCAGGAGCAUGAUGUCUUCUAUCUUUGUCUACCUCCUCUUUCUAAGUUCUAGAAAAGACCUCUGAUAAAUAAGUGAAAUUCUUUGGCAAAGUUACUUACUGAUUUCAGAAUUCCCCAGACUCACUAAGAACUUUGAUUUCCAGGAAUUGGUUAGGCACAGCCACUUUACUCAAGCUUAUAUUUUGCACACCACAGUUAAGGUUGCAUUUGGGCUGUCUUAUAUUCUUAGUCUAUUUUAAGAUAGUCAGCUUUUAAUAAUUGUUGGUUGGUUAUGGCUCCCAGCCAGAUUUUUAAAAAUUAUUUGAAUAAUCUAUCCACUGGUGCAAAAAACUUUUUUUUUUAUUCUCACCCGAGAAUAUGUUUUUUAUUGCUUUUUUUAAAGGGCGAGAGAGAGAGAGAAACAUCAAUCAGUUGUUUCCCAUAGGCACCCCAACUGGGAUUGAACCCGAAACCUAGGUAUUGUGCUCUGACCCAGAAUCAAACCCACAACCUUUUGGUCUAUGGCAGCGGUUCUCAACCUGUGGGUCGCGACCCCUUUGGGGGUUGAACGACCCUUUCACAGGGGUCGCCUGAGACCAUCGGAAAACACAUAUAUAAUUACAUAUUGUUUUGUGUUUAAUCACUAUGCUUUAAUUAUGUUCAAUUUGUAACAAUGAAAUUGGGGGUCACCACAACAUGAGGAACUGUAUUAAAGGGUCGCGGCAUUAGGAAGUUUGAGAACCACUGGUCUAUGGGAUGAUGCUCCAACCAAGUGAGCCAUCUGACCAAGGCACAAAAAGCUUUUUAAACAUGAUCAGCUGUCUUCCAUUCAUACAGUUCCCACUCCCAAGGUAACUAACCUCUACUCUUACUUUCUUGUGUAUUCUUUCAGUUUUUUUAUUGCCUAUACAUAUAAGUAAUAAUAAAUAUUCUUAUUUUUCUCUUUUUAUUUAACAGGGAAGAUACCAUAUACACUCUUGUGCGCUUUGCAAUUAAGAAAUCUUGGACUUCUUCAUAUUAAAUGCAUAAAAGGCAUCAUUUUUUUUUACUCCUGCAGAUAAUUUAACCAGACAUUAUCCAGUUGAGGGACAUUGAGUUUCUAAUCUUUUGUAUUCAAUUCAUGCUUAGAUAAGUAUCUUUAUACACACAUCUUCUUUCAAUUAUGACUUCUCUCAAUUCCCGAGUGGAUUUGCUCUGCAAAAUGGUAUAUAUGUAUUUUUAAUUUUUAAAAUAAAUCUUUAUUGUUGAAAGAA